rnacentral:rRNA from 1 species
UACGAAGGGGGCUAGCGUUGUUCGGAAUUACUGGGCGUAAAGCGUGCGCAGGCGGCUUCUCAAGUCAGGGGUGAAAGCCCAGAGCUCAACUCUGGAAUUGCCUUUGAGACUGAGUGGCUUGAGUACGAGAGAGGUGAGUGGAAUUCCCAGUGUGGAGGUGAAAUUCGUAGAUAUUGGGAAGAACACCGGUGGCGAAGGCGGCUCACUGGCUCGUAACUGACGCUCAUGCACGACAGCGUGGGGAUCAAACAGG